CUGAAUGAGAGAAAAGUGCCCUAGAAGCUAUUCAUUACGAAUUCACUGGAAGCUCUCAAACGAGGCUGGCAGAAGCUGAAAUUGAAGUGGUCUCUGACCUAAUUUUCUUCUGCAUGAAACAUCUGCAUCAAGGCUCUCUUUGAUGUAUUCCACUUGGCUCUGUCUACGGGAUUGUAUCACAUGGACUCGGUGUUGCCUCCUUAUUGAAAGACAUUUCCAGCCUUUGCAAGAUGGCCGGUUUGACACAAAUUAGAACAACCUUGAUAGCUGUCAACUGGAGACUAUCUGAGAACAAAAGGACAUUAUUGCAAACCAGCACUGGAGGCAACUCUGAAAGAAGAUAAAAGUACAUGAAGAAAUCAUUUGCAGGCACUGGACAAAAAAGAGUGCAAAACUAUAAUCUUGAGAGCAGGACACACACAGUGCAGCCAUCCAGCCCAGAACACAACAAGAAUAGAGUUGAUGAGCCCUCUUCUCCUCAACAAACACCUGUGAUGAGAACAUUGAGGCAAGGGAACAGGUGGCCAAAAAUACCCUCAUAGCCUUGAGAAAGUCCAUCUUGAUGUUAUCCAGUGAAACUUAA
rnacentral:lncRNA from 10 species